AAAGCAGAUUGCAAUUACAGUGCUUCAUUUGUGGGAGUACUGCCAUUAUCCUGCUGAGAGCAAAGUGCACGUUACUUUAGAGUUUUUUUUAUCCUGGUCACUGAAGUGACGGGGAUGCUCUUAAGUAUUGACAAUU